ensembl:lncRNA LINC02429 long intergenic non-protein coding RNA 2429
ACAUCUGCUCUGUCAAACUAAGCGUAAGUGGUUCACAGUCUGUACCACAGCUAAAUUUAAAGUAUCAGGGUACUAUUGGCCUCAUAGAAAGAUUUUGGAAGUAUUUUCUCCUGCAUUUUUCAGAAAAGUUAACCUGAUUAGGGGCUGGGCACAGUGGCUCAUGCCUGUAAUCACAACACUUUGGGAGGCCGAGGUGGGCAGACCACUUGAGGUCAGGAGUUCAAGAACAGCCUGGCCAACAAGAGCUGAGAACCCACUCUAUCAACAUUAAACAGCGGCAGUUCCUGUAAGUUUUUAAGGGUUAUUGGAAGAUGACUUUACUUGUCUUCAUACAGUUUCACCUAAAUUAUGUUGGUGCUGUUGCUUUAGGACCUUCAGACCUGGAUGGGGACGUAUGAUAAGGAUCCUGGUUCUCAGGCCUUCUGGUCUGCACUGUAGCUAUACCUCCAGCUUUCCUGUGCUGUCAGUUUGGAGACAGCAGGUCAUGAGACUUCACUGCAUUCAUAAUUAUGUGAGCCAGUUUGUCAUGGUAAAUAUGUAUGUAUGCAUGUAUGUAUCCAUCCAUCCAUCCUGUUGAUUCUGUUUCUCUGGAGAACGCUGAUUAAAACACCUCUCUGCCUUCAGAA